rnacentral:rRNA from 1 species
UACAGAGGUCUCGAGCGUUAGGCGGAAUCACUGGGCUUAAAGCGUGUGUAGGUGGAUGCCUAAGUACCUUGUGAAAUCCCACAGCUUAACUGUGGAACUGCUUGGUAUACUGGGUGUCUUGAGUCACUCAGGGGCGAGCGGAACAAAUGGUGGAGCGGUGAAAUGCGUAGAUAUCAUUUGGAACGCCAAUGGUGAAAAACAGCUCGCUGGGAGUGUCCUGACGCUGAGACGCGAAAGCCAGGGGAGCGAACGGG